AGAAAUGUUUUCUAGGGUUCCGCAACGUUAACGUUGGUCUGGUCCGAGAGAAAACUCACAGCUUUGCUGUGUCACGGAAGGAUAAAAGCCUGGGAGAU
rnacentral:sRNA from 2 species